UACGGAGGGGGCGAGCGUUGUUCGGAUUUACUGGGCGUAAAGCGUGCGUAGGUGGCUUCUCAAGUAAGAAGUGAAAGCCCAGGGCUUAACCCUGGAAUUGCUUUUUAAACUGGGUCGCUAGAAUUUAGGAGAGGCAGAUGGAAUUCCGAGUGUAGAGGUGAAAUUCGUAGAUAUUCGGAGGAACACCAAUGGCGAAAGCAGUCUGCUGGACUAACAUUGACACUGAGGCACGAAAGCGUGGGGAGCAAACAGG
rnacentral:rRNA from 1 species